rnacentral:rRNA from 1 species
AUUGAACGCUAGCGGGAUGCCUUACACAUGCAAGUCGAACGGAGUGGCGAACGGGUGAGUAAUGUCUCGGAACGUGCCCAGUAGCGGGGGAUAACUACCCGAAAGCGUCGCUAAUACCGCAUACUAUCGUAUCGGCCUAUGUCGGAUUAGCUAGUUGUUGGGUUAACGGCCCACCAAGGCGACGAUCCGUAACUGGUUUGAGAGGAUGACCAGUCACACUGGAACUGAGACACGGCCCAGACUCCUACGGGAGGCAGCAGUGGGGAAUUUUGGACAAUGGGGGAAACCCUGAUCCAGCCAUGCCGCGUGUGCGAUGAAGGUCUUCGGGUUGUAAAGCACUUUUGGCAGGAAAGCGGUACCUGCAGAAUAAGCACCGGCUAACUACGUGCCAGCCGCCGCGGUAAUAC